rnacentral:rRNA from 1 species
UACGUAGGUGGCAAGCGUUCUCCGGAUUUACUGGGUGUAAAGGGUGCUCAGGCGGAUUUGUAAGUCAGAGGUGAAAUCUCACAGCUUAACUGUGAAACUGCGUUUGAUACUGCGAGUCUAGAGGGAUGGAGAGGGUGAUGGAAUAUCUGGUGUAGCAGUGAAAUGCGUAGAUAUCAGAUGGAACACCAAUGGCGAAGGCAGCCACCUGGCCAUGAACUGACGCUAAAGCACGAAAGCGUGGGGAGCAAACAGG